rnacentral:rRNA from 1 species
GACGAACGCUGGCGGCGUGCUUAACACAUGCAAGUCGUACGGUAAGGCCCUUUCGGGGGUACACGCGUGGCGAACGGGUGAGUAACACGUGAGUAACCUGCCCACAACUUUGGGAUAACGCUAGGAAACUGGUGCUAAUACUGGAUAUGUGCUCCUGCUGCAUGGUGGGGGUUGGAAAGCUCCGGCGGUUGUGGAUGGACUCGCGGCCUAUCAGCUUGUUGGUGGGGUAGUGGCCUACCAAGGCGGCGACGGGUAGCCGGCCUGAGGGGGUGACCGGCCACAUUGGGACUGAGAUACGGCCCAGACUCCUACGGGAGGCAGCAGUGGGGAAUAUUGCACAAUGGGCGCAAGCCUGAUGCAGCAACGCCGCGUGCGGGAUGACGGCCUUCGGGUUGUAAACCGCUUUCAGCAGGGACGAAGCUUUUUGUGACGGUACCUGCAGAAGAAGCACCGGCUGACUACGUG